CCUGACCCUUGUGAUCCACCUGUCUCGGCCUCCUAAAGUGCUGGAAUUAAAGGUGUGAGCCACCGCGCCUGGCCUCCCUACAGCUCUUAUUAUAUUGGUUAAUCCUGUAAUUUUACUAGGAAGGUAUUUUCUCAAGCCCUUUUUGUAGUAUUGUGCCAGGCACUGGGGUUCCAUGGCUGAGGUUCAUGAGUUGGUGAUAUGUCCUAAUUCUUCAUUUAUUCAUCAGGUUUUAAGGGAAAUAAUAGAACCAGGGCUAUAGAAAGUAGCUUCCAUGAGGCUAGAUUAGCUUUUGCCGAAUAUUCUGAGAUCUAAAUGUAUACGGUAAUAUAUAUACAGGUACGUAAAUACUACUAACAAACAUAGAGCAGUGCUUGGCACAUCAUAUGAAGAGCUUUAUGCACAGUAACUUCUUUAGUGCUCAUGAUAACUUUAUCAAGUAUGUACUAUUGUCUGUCUUUACAGAUAAAGAAACUGCAGCAGAGUGGGUAAAUGAGUUAUCCAAGUUCUUGUGGGUGGUGUUGAGAGAUGACAGCGUGCUGGCAGUCCUCACAGCCCACGCUUGCUCUCGGCGCCUCCUCUGCCUGGGCUCCCACUUCGGCGGCACUUGAGGAGCCCUUCAGCCCACCGCUGCACUGUGGGAGCCGUUUUCUGGGCUGGCCAAGGCCAGAGCUGGCUCCCUCAGCUUGCAGGUAGGUGUGCAGGGAGAGGCGCGAGCGGGAACCAGGGCUGCGUGUGGUGCUUGCGGGCCAGCUGGAGUUCCGGGUGGGCGUGGGCUUAGCGGGCCCCGCACUCGGAGCAGCCGGCCGGCCCUGCCAGCCCCGAGCAAUGAGGGGUUUAGCACCCAGGCCAGCGGCUGCACAGGGUGUACUGGGUCCCCCAGCAGUGCCAGCCCACCGGUGCUGCACUCGAUUUCUCACUGGGCCUUAGCUGCUUUCCCACGGGGCAGGGCUCCGGACCUGCAGCCCGCCAUGCCUGAGCCUCUCACCCCCUCCAUGGGCUCCUGGGUGGCCCGAGCCUCCUCGAUGAGCACUGCCCCAUGCUCCACGGUGCCUAGUCCCAUCAACCACCCAAGGGCUGAGGAGUGCGGAUGCACGGCGCAGGACUGGCAGGCAGCUCCACCUGCAGCUCCGGUGCAGGAUCCACUGGGUGAAGCCAGCUGGGCUCCUGAGUCCGGUGGGGAUGCGGAGAACCUUUGUGUCUAGCUCAGGGAUUGUAAAUACACCAAUGGGCACUCUGUAUCUAGCUCAAGGUUUGUAAGCACACCAAUCAGCACCCUGUGUCUAGCUCAGGGUUUGUGAAUGCACCAAUCGACACUGUAUCUAGCUACUCUCGUGGGGCCUUGGAGAACCUUUGUGUCGACACUGUAUCUAGCUACUCUGGUGGGGAUGUGGAGAACCUUUGUGUCUAGCUCAGGGAUUGUAAACGCAUCAAUCAGUGCCCUGUCAAAACAGACCACUCGGCUCCAAUCAGCAGGAUGUGGGUGGGGCCAGAUAGAAUAAAAGCAGGCUGCCGGAGCCAGCAGUGGCAACCCGCUUAGGUUCCCUUCCACACUGUGGAAGCUUUGUUCUUUCGCCCUUUGCAAUAAAUCUUGCUACUGCUUACUCUUCGGGUCCACGCUGCUUUUAUGAGCUGUCACACACCGCGAAGGUCUGCAGCUUCACUCCUGAAGCCAGCGAGCCCACGAGCCACCGGGAGGAACAAACAACUCCAGAUGCGCUGUCUUAAGAGCUGUGACGCUCACCACGAAGGUCUGCAGUUUCACUCCUGAGCCAGCGAGACCAUGAACCCACCAGAAGGAAGAAACUGAACACAUCCGAACAUCAGAAGGAACGAACAACUCUAGACGUGCCACCUUAAGAGCUGUAACACUCACCGCGAGGGUCUGCGGCUUCAUUCUUGAAGUCAGUGGGACCAAGAACCCACCAAUUCCGGACACAGUGUGUUUAUAGGUAUUUAUUUAUAUUUUUAGUUUUAAAAGCCUGCCAGUUUGAAUGGGAUUAAAUGAACUUGUGAUUCUAA